rnacentral:rRNA from 1 species
AAAGAACACCAAGAUGAGUGUUUCCGAGGGCGAAUCCACUUUGAAUUUGAUAAAUGUAUUGCUUGUGAAGUAUGUGUUCGCGUAUGUCCGAUAGAUCUACCCGUUGUGGAUUGGAGAUUUGAAAAGGAUAUUAAAAGAAAACAAUUGCUUAAUUAUAGUAUUGAUUUCGGAGUUUGUAUAUUUUGUGGCAAUUGUGUUGAGUAG